AGAGUUUGAUCCUGGCUCAGGACGAACGCUGGCGGCGUGCCUAAUACAUGCAAGUCGAACGCUUCUUUUUCCACCGGAGCUUGCUCCACCGGAAAAAGAGGAGUGGCGAACGGGUGAGUAACACGUGGGUAACCUGCCCAUCAGAAGGGGAUAACACUUGGAAACAGGUGCUAAUACCGUAUAACAAUCGAAACCGCAUGGUUUUGAUUUGAAAGGCGCUUUCGGGUGUCGCUGAUGGAUGGACCCGCGGUGCAUUAGCUAGUUGGUGAGGUAACGGCUCACCAAGGCGACGAUGCAUAGCCGACCUGAGAGGGUGAUCGGCCACAUUGGGACUGAGACACGGCCCAAACUCCUACGGGAGGCAGCAGUAGGGAAUCUUCGGCAAUGGACGAAAGUCUGACCGAGCAACGCCGCGUGAGUGAAGAAGGUUUUCGGAUCGUAAAACUCUGUUGUUAGAGAAGAACAAGGAUGAGAGUAACUGUUCAUCCCUUGACGGUAUCUAACCAGAAAGCCACGGCUAACUACGUGCCAGCAGCCGCGGUAAUACGUAGGUGGCAAGCGUUGUCCGGAUUUAUUGGGCGUAAAGCGAGCGCAGGCGGUUUCUUAAGUCUGAUGUGAAAGCCCCCGGCUCAACCGGGGAGGGUCAUUGGAAACUGGGAGACUUGAGUGCAGAAGAGGAGAGUGGAAUUCCAUGUGUAGCGGUGAAAUGCGUAGAUAUAUGGAGGAACACCAGUGGCGAAGGCGGCUCUCUGGUCUGUAACUGACGCUGAGGCUCGAAAGCGUGGGGAGCAAACAGGAUUAGAUACCCUGGUAGUCCACGCCGUAAACGAUGAGUGCUAAGUGUUGGAGGGUUUCCGCCCUUCAGUGCUGCAGCUAACGCAUUAAGCACUCCGCCUGGGGAGUACGACCGCAAGGUUGAAACUCAAAGGAAUUGACGGGGGCCCGCACAAGCGGUGGAGCAUGUGGUUUAAUUCGAAGCAACGCGAAGAACCUUACCAGGUCUUGACAUCCUUUGACCACUCUAGAGAUAGAGCUUCCCCUUCGGGGGCAAAGUGACAGGUGGUGCAUGGUUGUCGUCAGCUCGUGUCGUGAGAUGUUGGGUUAAGUCCCGCAACGAGCGCAACCCUUAUUGUUAGUUGCCAUCAUUUAGUUGGGCACUCUAGCAAGACUGCCGGUGACAAACCGGAGGAAGGUGGGGAUGACGUCAAAUCAUCAUGCCCCUUAUGACCUGGGCUACACACGUGCUACAAUGGGAAGUACAACGAGUCGCAAAGUCGCGAGGCUAAGCUAAUCUCUUAAAGCUUCCCUCAGUUCGGAUUGUAGGCUGCAACUCGCCUACAUGAAGCCGGAAUCGCUAGUAAUCGUGGAUCAGAAUGCCACGGUGAAUACGUUCCCGGGCCUUGUACACACCGCCCGUCA
rnacentral:rRNA from 1 species